UCCGCUAUAGACAAGGUGGCUAGUAUAUACGGCUCUCACCCGUAGGACCCGGGUUCGAGUCCCGGCAGUGGAU
rfam:Gregarina niphandrodes unplaced genomic scaffold scaffold00144, whole genome shotgun sequence.